GGGGAUUUAGCUCAGCGGCAUAAGCGCCUGCCUUGCAAGCAGGCAGUUACGAGUUCGAUCCCCG
rnacentral:tRNA from 1 species